rnacentral:rRNA from 1 species
UACGUAGGGAGCAAGCGUUGUCCGGAAUCAUUGGGCGUAAAGCGCGCGUAGGCGGCCCUGUAAGUCCGUUGUGAAAGUCAAAGGCUCAACCUUUGAAAGCCGAUGGAUACUGCAGGGCUAGAGUCCGGAAGAGGCGAGUGGAAUUCCUGGUGUAGCGGUGGAAUGCGCAGAUAUCAGGAGGAACACCAAUAGCGAAGGCAGCUCGCUGGGCCGACACUGACGCUGAGGCGCGAAAGCCAGGGGAGCGAACGGG